AAACUUGAGAGUUUGAUCCUGGCUCAGAACGAACGCUGGCGGCAGGCUUAACACAUGCAAGUCGAACGCCCCGCAAGGGGAGUGGCAGACGGGUGAGUAACGCGUGGGAAUCUACCCAGAACUUCGGAACAACUGAGGGAAACUUCAGCUAAUACCGGAUACGCCCUACGGGGGAAAGAUUUAUCGGUUCUGGAUGAGCCCGCGUUGGAUU
rnacentral:rRNA from 1 species